CCCGCACUCAUGCUCGCACAAACAGACUUGUAUAAAGAGGGGUGAGCGAAAGCACCUAGACAGAGUCUGCUGCGGGUUUCGUACGGACGCCCAACCGAUUGAUGCACACUCUGCCGGGGUUGUAGGCUCUCCAACCCAGCGCGUCACGACGAUGCUGCCAAUACCUCUGCAGUAGGGCAAGGGGAAAUCCCAUGCAGCAGUUCCAGCUGAAGUGGCGAGGCAAGACAAGCUACAUGAUUCACUCGGAUGGGAGACAGUGACGCGGCUCGUCCCCUGGGGUCAAGACACUUUACAUGCUUCCUCUUGCUGAGAUGGCAAAGAAUGUUCCUCGUCCAUCAAGGCAUUCCUGUCUAGAGCACGCCGAGCAGGCCAUGCAAAGACUCUUCUGCACUCUGUGUGUACGCUAGCGGCCACGCCUCCACCCACCGAGACAGCGACUGGAUGACUGACAAAAGGGCUCAUGCCGUUCUAUGGAACAAACGCGGCAAGUUGCUGAAAGCGAUGCACAGAGUGAACUCCCUUCCAGCUUGUUUGGAGGCGAGAGACAAGAAAGACAGACACGCAUGCACACGGCAAUAUAUCGAUGCUGGUAAAAUGAUCAAGUUCAUUUGAAUUUAUUGUGUGCUAACUAACUUAUUUUCAUCCCAGCACUGGUGCCCAUGAGAAAUCUUUUAAUCACAUUUUAGUCACAUCAUAAUCUCGUUACUAUACAUAUUUGUUACUAUUAUUAUAUGUAUGAUACAUUUAUACAUGAAAACCAGCAAGGUGGCGCCAAACAACUUUUCUCCAAGUGAGUCAGUCAGAGCUUUCCUUCCUGUCAUUGACAUGCACCAAUUAUUUAGGAAGAAGCUGGAAAAAGCGCCUCACGUUGGGCAAGUUAGCAAACAACAGAAGAAAAACUAAACUAAUGGUGACCAAUGUCAAACAACUGAGGGGCCAUCAUAUUCAAGUACACUUGUGCCAAACUAAGAUUUGCAAAAAUAUAUACACUGCAUAUAUAUGAGUCAUUAUUCUAUCAAACUUCCAAAAUUCUGAGAAGAUAAAUCACUUUGGACUGACUAUUAUGUUACCAUGGUUUCCAAAUGCUAUGUAAUGUGUAACAAUUGCAUUGUAUAUCUGCAGGCACUUUGGAUUCACUUGGUCAAGACUGAAUAAAUAAAUG